GGGCCAAAUUCGAAAUAGAGUGGAUUAGUAGGAUCAUCUGACCUUACUAAACUACACUACUUUGAGUUUGUGCCC
rfam:Haemonchus contortus, ISE/inbred ISE, WGS project CAVP01000000 data, contig: Hcontortus_4774